UACGGAGGGUGCAAGCGUUAAUCGGAAUUACUGGGCGUAAAGCGCACGCAGGCGGUUGGAUAAGAUAGAAGUGAAAGCCCCGGGCUCAACCUGGGAAUUGCAUUUAAAACUGUCCAGCUAGAGUCUUGUAGAGGGGUGUAGAAUUCCAGGUGUAGCGGUGAAAUGCGUAGAGAUCUGGAGGAAUACCGGUGGCGAAUGCGGCCCCCUGGACAAAGACUGACGCUCAUGUGCGAAAGCGUGGGGAGCAAACAGG
rnacentral:rRNA from 1 species